rnacentral:misc_RNA from 1 species
UCGUACAACCGAGGUGCGAGGGCUGUCGCUGACUUUUGUCGUGCACGCCCGAGUGCUCUCACACAAUCCAUCUCACCCCUAUGUGCACCACCGCGUGGGUCCCUCUUCGGCUCGCUCCGAGGGGGGGCUCGCGUUUUCACACAAACUUGAAGCAGUGUAGAAUGUCUUUUUUUAUUUUUGCGAUGACACGCAAUCAAUA